AUAGCAUCCGCCAGCCGCCCCCUGCGGCCGCUUCUAAAUGCUGCUGUGUACUCAGCUGCCAGAUCCUAGUGCCAGCCCCGAGUGCUGAUGGCGCCCUGCCUUCCAAUCUUGCCUAAUAACUGCCUGAGCAUCCAUAUGCCUGCACCACCAAUGUCAUUUCAGAGCAACGAGUUGGGGCCCCCUCCCCAUGUCAAAGGAAGCCACCCAUGAGCCCUGAAGACACGCUCUGACUUCAUCCACAGACCAUGACACCACGCACGAGUGUCUCUCGCUGUGUUAAUCUCACUGCCUUACGGAAUGGUGCCAAGAUCCCUCUCACCCCAGGGCCUUUGCACCUGCUUCCUCUGGCCCAGACACUUGUCUUCUACCCAGGAUUCAUGCUACAUUUACCAUCUUCUCUGCUCCAAUCUCUCCUCUCCAUGCUGCAGAAGAGCUGCCCUGAAGUGCCUACAAGGAUAGCACAUCACAGGUAGGUAUACAAAGCAUUACUAAUUAAAAGGAAUAAGCAAAUGAAUGAAGCCUUCUCCUGCCCCUGCUGCCUCACGGGACUUUCAACUAACC
rnacentral:lncRNA from 1 species